rnacentral:lncRNA from 1 species
AAAAACAGGCAACAGCAGACCAGAAAACAGCACCAGAUGAGCCAAAACAGAACCACAGAAUCAUCAGCGACGAUACAAGGACAAUGGCCUGCUACCGAUUCAAGCGAUCUCUGGAAUUCAAAUUGACAAGACACUUUGUAUAUAAGGUAAUAUCCCAAUCACCACAAUCAUUUUACUCCUGGUAAAAAUAACUAAUUACUUAUUCCUCCAAUUGGAAGAAUGUUUCCUUGUACAUUACUAUCCGAUCAAUAGAAUUCACUUCUUUGUAAGCAAGCUCCACAAUCAUUUGAGUACUUAAAUCAAGACAAACUAGUUCUUUAUCUUGUCUGAUGACGAAUAUUUCUCCUUUCGUUCCCACUCCAAUAGGACGCUCAAUGCAAGACAACGGUCCAACCAUGAAGAGUUUGGUCCAUGACUCCUUUAUACCGUAUUCACCCAAAAUUGAUAUGUGAAAAUUUGUCGUCUCUUCAUGAUAUGAGAUCAAUGCAAUGGACCCAUUUAACACCGCCAAGUUUAUCCACAAGGUGUGAAGAUUGAAACAAUCAUCUAAGUAUGAGGGUAUGUAUGUUAUGAAGAAUUCCUCAUUGCUCAAGUAAAAUGAUACCACACAUGGUCCCUCCAGGGUAUCAUCAACUUCUUCAGCCAACCAAUGACACACACCAUCCAUGUAGACUUGAGUGCCGUCAAUACGUGCCAAUGAACAAGGCAUGCUAGAAACAUCAAGUAUCCUCCACGAGUUAGUUCUUAAGCUAUAUAUCACCCAAAUUGGGUCUAAAGACAUACAUCCAUAGCCAGCGUGUUCACCCGUAAUAGUUACGUGACAGAUGACCUUAUAGUCAUUUCUAAGAUUGUCGUAGCCAAAUCCAUGAAGAUAAUACGUAUCAUGUAUGCUAACAAAAUCCACAACAUCUUCAAUAGACGACUCAACUAACUCAUCCUGACUGGGAACGAGCUUGAUUGCAUGUGCCGAUGGGUUCCACAAUAGAGUUUUGCCAUAAUAAUAAUCUUGAUAGAGACAAAAUGUGCCAUUAAUACUACCAAAGCCAAAAAUACGAAAUUUGAAACGGUCUGCAUAUGCAUUUGAGAAAUCUAAUUGAACUUUGUUCUCAAACCUUUCACCAGAAAUAGAAUAGAAAACGUCUUUACCAAGUUCGAAAUCCCUUAGGAGCAGAGAUCCCCCAUCGUAAUAAGGACAUUGGUGAGAAUUAGAUAAAAGAUUCUUGUAGAACAUGUUCAUGAAGUGAGGGUUUUCAGAUAAGAGAGACCAUGCUUUGCGAAUGCAUUCAAACCGUUUAAUGGAUUUAAAAGGCAAUUUGGAUAAAAUAGAGAAGGCAAUUUCAUCAGGUAUAUAGGUGGUGCUCACCUUUCUUUUUUUAGCAGCGACUGACUCCAUCGGCGGUUGCAAAUUGGAAUGCAGUGAGAUCCUGAAAGCACAAAGUGAUUGGGAUUACUAGAAAGCAGAAACCCUAAACAAAUUUGGAGCGAGUCUGUGGAUGAAUAUAGAAACCCUAGCGCUUUUUUAUAUAUUGAGAAAGGAGCCCUAUAUAUCCUUCAUUUCCCACUUAUUUUACUUUCGUUUAACCCUUCUUUUUUUCGUUACAAUUUGUUUCACCUAUUUUUUUUUAAACCAAUGGUACACAAGAGUUAUUUGAUAGUACAUGUGUACCAUACCAAUGUUAUAUAACAUUUGUCAACAUUGGUCAAUGAAGGUGUGCCACGUAGCAUUUCACAUACAUAUAUUUUCUCUUUCCUCUUUAGUUCUUCCUCACGUUGGCUACGUGACACAUCUUUACUCACCAAUGUUAAAUAACAUUGGUAUCCCAAUGAUAUGCAAGUGCUAUCUUAGACACUUCAGUCGAUGUUAAUUUUGUCUUGAUAAAAGAUGAUGUCAAACUAGUCUUUACAAUUUUAAAUUGGGAACAAAUUAAUCUCUAUAUUAAAAACUUCGAUAGCUACCUAUUCUAUACUCCGUCCCAAAUCGUACGACAUUUUGGAUAUUUCACACGUAUUAAAAAUGUAAUUACUUAUGUGUGGGAAAGGGAUAUUAUUAGUUGUUUUACAAAAUUGUCCUUAAUAAAUGAUAUGGGAAAGAUAAAUAAAAAAAUUGAAAGAAGAGAGUACUAAAUAGUUAAAGAUAUAAUGGGAAAAGUAACACUAAUAUUUUAUUAGUAUCGUAAAGCGACAUAUAAUUUCAGACAAAAAAGUUUCCAAAGCUACGUAUAAUUUGGGACGGGGCGAGUAAAAAAAAACAUUUGUUACAUAUAAUAAUCAUUUUUUCCUUUUAAACCACCAAAAAAAAAAAAAUUCAUUUUUGGCUUUUCACAUUUUCUAAAUGAUACUUAAAUUCAUUCGUCAUUAACACCAAUUAUUAAUCAAGAUUCAUUGAAGUAAAGAAAAUUUUCAAAGGAUAACCUUCACUUUAUUCAAAUAAGCACACUCUUUUUUUCAAACCACAGCUCCAACAACAUUUAGAUCAUCAAAGAGACCAAGAAAUGGAACAAGAGAACAAAGAAUACCAAUAACACUAUCACUAAAAUUUCACGCGGUUUUUUUCAAUCAACGAGGUGAAGAGAGAUUAGUUUACCUGAAAUAAAUUCAAUCAAAAGCUUCACAAAGGAGAGGCAAAGGUUUGUAAUUCAAGAAGUUUUCUCAAAUAAGGCUUGGAACAUGAAGGAAAUGGAUGUUUUUUCUUCAAAACAAAAAGCACCAACACACCUAUACAGGUAAUAUUGAGAGAAAGAGAGAGAGCGCUUCUGUGCUGAAAGUGAAAAUGGGAAAGGAAGGAAUAGCUUAAAUAGACCACAUGGUAAAGUCCUAGCCCUUGGAUUAAACAUAAGUCAUGUGGGAUGAAUCUAAACCAUUCAAUAUAACUUAAUCACCAAGNAAGGCUAAAACAAGAGGACAGAAAAUGAAACCUGCACAAAACCACCAAAAGCCAUGCGCGCACAAAGCUGGCAGCACAACAACCAAGUGGUCACAACAACUACAAAAAACCCACAAAGCUGGAAGUACAGAAGCCAAGCAGUCACAGUAACAGCAAAAAAAUCGCAGCCCUGUUUAAAUUAAAAAUGAAGUCCGUAAACAUAAGAAACAAAUAAUAUAAAACGAGUUUAGGCGAAUACCUUCAAAACGAGUCUUCAUUCACACCAAAACGAGCCUUCAACAAACAGUGUUGUUUUGGAAAUGGGAAAACCGAUUGAAAUUUGAAAUAGUGUUGUUUUCAACAUUCAACAAAUCUCUAUCAAUCUCUAUUUUAGUAAUUUCAACAUUCAAAUUAAUGAAAGAGAGUUUAUUUACUUACCAAACAGUGUUGUUUUGGAAAGGGGAAAACUGAUUGAAACCUUGAGAGUUGAGAAUCAGUGAUGAUUUGGUGAAGAAGGAAGAAGAAGAAGGAAAGCCUGAUGAUGUGAAUCAGUUGAUGAUUGAUCAGUGAUGGUGGUUGUGAAUCGGUGAUGGAAUGGAAGAAAAUCGGUGAUGAGAGUGAGGAAACGUGUUUCAACUUUUGUGAGCGAAUGAAAUAUUUUUUUUUUUAUUGGAGGAUAUAUAUUAUACUGGGUAUAAUUUUUUUUUUGAAGCCCAUCCUUGAGGGAGGCCCAGCUCGUUUGAGCUGUUUGCACGCCUCAGGGAUGCCCAUGACUAUUAUACCAUUCACCUACAUCAAUACCCAAUGCUCACCAAAAUACUCAAUACUUACAUAAAUCAAAAUCUAUAUAUACUCCAUUGCUCAUCUAUCUAUCUAUCUAUCUAUCUAUCUAUCUAUAUAGGGGGACUUCUACGGUACACCUCAUAAAUUGAGUUGUACUGGUACUCCUACUUCAAAAAUUUAUAAUUUAACAAUUAUUUUAUGAAAUAAAGAGUUAUUCAUCAAUAUUUAUAUUUUAGAAAACAUCAUUUUAUAAGAAAAAACAUCAUUUCAUUGUUUAUAAGAAUUAUAUUUAAUUUUUAAAAUUUUCUCAUAAAAAAUAAUCAAUAUUCUUUGUCAUAUGUAACAAAAAUUCAAAAAAAAAGUAAAUUUUGUUUCGUCGACGCUUUUGGUAAAUACGAUUUAAUUAUUGUAAUUGUCAAUGAUAGAAAACAGAUUUUUUUCUUAAAAAAAACAACUCGUUUAAUUAUUAAUUUAAUAAUUUGAUGUACCGGUACCCUCAAAUUGUUGGAUAUAUCAUAAAAUUUGCCAUCUAUAUAUCUUUGAAUUUGAAACUUGCUUCAUUCUAAUGCUUGGAUUGUGCCUAUGUGACAUAUUAAAAAAGCUCAAACUCUCUCUUUUCUAUUGCAUUGAAAUGUUGGUGUUAUCCCUCUCUUAAAACCUUGCCAGCAGUCACAUUUCAACCGUAAAUUAUUUUUAAUAAAAAAUCAAUGCAUUAAAUAUACAAAGGAAGCUCCAUCUUUUAGGAACGUUUUAUUUUUAAGAUGUAUAAAAUAGGUAGAGAAGUUCACUUGAUAUUCCUAAUCCAUACCUUUCAUUUGUACAUAACCUUUUAAUUAGUGCAUCUUUUCAAUUCCAUAUUUAUUUAACCAAUUUAAAACCAAAUAUUGUUCCAUUAUAUAUUGACCUUUCCUAUGUGUUUAUGUGCUACUAGCUAGGUGUUUAUUUUGCAGUUUUUUAAACAAAAAUGUUACGUCCUUUAGAAGUUGAAAUUCAAAGCACGAAAGUGGAACAAAUGACAAGUAACAUAAAUGAAUGGCACAUGCCCUUUCUACUGAAAAAUUAAUAGAAAGUAUAAUAAUAGAAUUAGGUGAAAUUUUUCUUCUUCAUAGAAGGAAUAAAAAAUGGUAUUCCAAAAAAUAAGUUAAACUAAGGCUUCUAAACAAGGUAAGCUGAUUGCAAUUUGCAGAAAAAAGAUAACUGAGUUGAAGUGAAUCCAAUUGAUGUUGUUAAUGAUAAGUAAAAGCCAUGUAUUAGAAGUGUCAAACCCUAUCUAUGUCGGCGUAAUAAAUAUCAACCUGACUGGGAUUCAAAUCUUGGUUCGCCACAUUGUGGUAGUCUAGCCCCUUAUAUGGUAGAGGAGUCCGACCAAACAAAAAUAAAAGACAAGCAAAUUAAGGCAACAAGUUCUUCGUUGCUAAUUACAUUCCACCAACUUCAGUGUAACAAGAUUAUAGACACUUAUGCUUAUUAUAAGAAGGUUUUAGACAUAACCAAAAACUCGUUAGAAGGAAUAGUCAGGUGAAGUAGAUUAUUCAAGCUACAUUAAUGGCCAUCCAGUUCAAGACGUCAUAAUAACGAUGAUAUUUCACACAACAAAAAUCAGAAUUGAACUCAAAAUAACCUAGUGGUCUUUGGCUAAUUUACUGAAACUGAUAAGAUUCUUAGUAAAAUAGCAGAUAUGAAGAAAAUUAAUUAAUUGAUUUGAACUAAGCCACCAAGCUUGAACAAGCCAAGUUUAUUAUUUAGGUUUGGGAUACAAAAGAAAAAAUAAAGCAUUAAACUAAACAUGGUUUCAUGAAUAUAGAAAGCAGAAAGCAUAGUUACUAAAGAUCAUUACUUUCAAUGAUAUGGAAAUCAAAAAGUUCGCAAAUAGAAAGAGACUAAACAUUCAAAAUAAAAACCCGAACAAAGAAAGAAAAAAAAUACUCCAACUGCCUCCACCUAACACAACCUCAGCAAACCAUGCUAGGCCGCAAGGAAGCCACACACAACAAGCCUGAACGCUGCACAGAAAAACGGUGGGAUCGACCCAGGAAACUUCCAGACCAGAAAAACAGGCAACAGCAGACCAGAAAACAGCACCAGAUGAGCCAAAACAGAACCACAGAAUCAUCAGCGACGAUACAAGGACAAUGGCCUGCUACCGAUUCAAGCGAUCUCUGGAAUUCAAAUUGACAAGACACUUUGUAUAUAAGGUAAUAUCCCAAUCACCACAAUCAUUUUACUCCUGGUAAAAAUAACUAAUUACUUAUUCCUCCAAUUGGAAGAAUGUUUCCUUGUACAUUACUAUCCGAUCAAUAGAAUUCACUUCUUUGUAAGCAAGCUCCACAAUCAUUU